rnacentral:lncRNA from 1 species
AAAACAUUUAAGGUAACUUUAUUUAAUGAAAAACAAUGCUGCCUUUUUGUAUGUUAUUAUAGCCUAAUUUCUAUCCAAAGGCAGCUUAAUGUAACUCCUAAGAAAAAAAAAUUGAAUUACCUAGUAAAUAUGAAAUGAUAUGUUUUCUAAUAUAAUAAAAGGUAAACAUUAAGCACUGAAUAAAAAUUUAAGUAUUUGAGUGUAUACAUAGCACAUCCUAAGUUAGCAAAACAAUAAAGUACAAAACGUAGCAAAAGGCUAACUUCAGGUGUAACAGAACAAAUCUCAAUGAUUACCAACUACUGGGAAUUGACUGCUCUUUGGGAAAAUCAGUAAGUGUAAAUGCAAAAGAGGAAUCAAAACAGAUAACUUUAAUCAAUGUCAUUUGCUUUCUCUUUUAAGUGACAAUUAAAAUAGAUUGUUUAAAACCCAUGAGUAUAAAUCACUCCACCAUGCUCAUUUUGCACAACGGAAGGUAGCAAAUUCACACGUUCGUGUGGUCAUGAAGGAGAGGAGGAAGGCAAUCUGCUGACUGUGUCACUGGUGGCAACAUUUUCGGCUCACUCUCGUUCAUUCCCAGCCCUCCCUCACAAAGAUCUCAUGUUUGAGAGAUGCAUACCUGAAACCAUCAUGUGCAUUGGACCAGAAAAGCUCCAGAGAGCCCUCGAUUUCAAUGGAGCAGUUUCUAGGGCAUGCAGACAACUGGGGCCUACUGGGAUCUGAAGGGAGAAAAAUGGACUAGAGCUGGAGACUGGUACCCUGGGAGGUCGGGAGAUGAAAGGGGAAACAGCCUGAAUGUGGYGGUUCAGCCUGGGCAAACGAAUCACUCCAGCGUUACAUGUCCUGCCCAUACCCGGUACUAAGCCAACCCUGGCCAAAGGCAGCGUGACUCCCCUGGAUACAGAAGGGAGAGUUUCAGACUCACACUGCCCAGCUCCCUGCGGCUGGAUCCGCUUUCAGGAGGAGGAAGGAUUCAGGCUCUGCCGCGUUUCCAAGGGCAGCCCCAUCCCUCUGCUGCAGUGCUGCCCUGCGUGUUGGUUACUGAACUCUGUAAUCCCAGCUGUUGCCUCUGAAAGAUUCAGACACUGUUUGUAAUUGCCCUUGUAUUUUUGCAAAAUAAAGGUAAAGCAUGUUGGCA